UCUGCUUCAUCUUCUUCCAAGAAUUUAUCAGUUCUGGUGGUUCUACGACAGUGACUUGUUUUAAUUACAACGAAAAGAGAGAUCUUCUCUGUCUCUCUUUGUCUCACAUGGAUUUGUUUUGAUUUGCAAUGUGUCGAUAAAAGCAAAGAUUCAUCGUCUCUCUUUUUGUUUGGUUUCUCUUGUUUGCAGCUACCGUACGUCUUCGGAUGUAGUGAGAUGCUCGUUUCAGCUCGGUGAACUGUUCAUCUCCACCAAACGCUCACAUAUUUUUUACAUGGAUUUAACGAGAUCUCGUCUGUCUUUAUAGAGCAGUCCGAGUGGUGCAUCUUUUGAUACAAGUUGUGUUCGGUCUUCAUCAACCUCACUCUUGUUGUGGUGUGUUUAUUUGGCGUCUCCUUCAGGUAGACUACUACUGUCUUCGUGAGAAGAUGUAGAGAAUGGCUCUCUAAGGAAGAUAUAGUUACAGCUUAUGUUCGUGUGCAUGAUCUUGUUGGUGUGAAGAAAAGAUCCGGUCAUCUUUGUCAGAGAUGAAUGAGAGUAUCCCGC
rnacentral:lncRNA from 1 species